rnacentral:rRNA from 1 species
AAGAGUUUGAUCAUGGCUCAGAUUGAACGCUGGCGGCAGGCCUAACACAUGCAAGUCGAACGGUAACAGGAAGCAGCUUGCUGCUUUGCUGACGAGUGGCGGACGGGUGAGUAAUGUCUGGGAAACUGCCUGAUGGAGGGGGAUAACUACUGGAAACGGUAGCUAAUACCGCAUAACGUCGCAAGACCAAAGAGGGGGACCUUAGGGCCUCUUGCCAUCGGAUGUGCCCAGAUGGGAUUAGCUAGUAGGUGGGGUAAAGGCUCACCUAGGCGACGAUCCCUAGCUGGUCUGAGAGGAUGACCAGCCACACUGGAACUGAGACACGGUCCAGACUCCUACGGGAGGCAGCAGUGGGGAAUAUUGCACAAUGGGCGCAAGCCUGAUGCAGCCAUGCCGCGUGUAUGAAGAAGGCCUUCGGGUUGUAAAGUACUUUCAGCGGGGAGGAAGGGAGUAAAGUUAAUACCUUUGCUCAUUGACGUUACCCGCAGAAGAAGCACCGGCUAACUCCGUGCCAGCAGCCGCGGUAAUACGGAGGGUGCAAGCGUUAAUCGGAAUUACUGGGCGUAAAGCGCACGCAGGCGGUUUGUUAAGUCAGAUGUGAAAUCCCCGGGCUCAACCUGGGAACUGCAUCUGAUACUGGCAAGCUUGAGUCUCGUAGAGGGGGGUAGAAUUCCAGGUGUAGCGGUGAAAUGCGUAGAGAUCUGGAGGAAUACCGGUGGCGAAGGCGGCCCCCUGGACGAAGACUGACGCUCAGGUGCGAAAGCGUGGGGAGCAAACAGGAUUAGAUACCCUGGUAGUCCACGCCGUAAACGAUGUCGACUUGGAGGUUGUGCCCUUGAGGCGUGGCUUCCGGAGCUAACGCGUUAAGUCGACCGCCUGGGGAGUACGGCCGCAAGGUUAAAACUCAAAUGAAUUGACGGGGGCCCGCACAAGCGGUGGAGCAUGUGGUUUAAUUCGAUGCAACGCGAAGAACCUUACCUGGUCUUGACAUCCACGGAAGUUUUCAGAGAUGAGAAUGUGCCUUCGGGAACCGUGAGACAGGUGCUGCAUGGCUGUCGUCAGCUCGUGUUGUGAAAUGUUGGGUUAAGUCCCGCAACGAGCGCAACCCUUAUCCUUUGUUGCCAGCGGUCC